UUGGUUUGUCUUAAGUCGAACUUAUUCAACUUUGACCAAGUUUAUAAAAAAUAUAAUAACAACUACACUAUCAAACAUAUGCACUAUAAAAAUAUAUUCUAUGAUGGAUUCAACCAAACAUAUUUGAUAUUGUAAAUGUUGUUAUAAUUUUCUAGAAACUUGAUCAAAGUUGCACAAAUUUGGUUUAGGACAAAUCAAA
rnacentral:pre_miRNA from 1 species